CUGACACAGACCAUCCCCUUAAUAAUUCUUCAUACUACUUCCAUCCGGCCGCAGAUACAGAGCACUGAACUGGACUAAAGCCCAUUUCAAAAAAUGUUUGUCCCCACCGCCAUCACAGUGCUGAACAAACUAUAAUACUGCCACCACCACCUCAGUUGCAUUGUUGUUUUUCACAUUUGAUAUUCCUAUGUGGGUGUCUUAAUGUGAUGUGGUUUGCAUAUGUGUUACAUGUUUUAUGUGUUCUAUAUGUGGUGUUGUGCUAUGGAAAG